AGCAUCCAGGUCCGAAGUCAGAAGGUC
rnacentral:sRNA from 1 species